rnacentral:rRNA from 1 species
GACGAACGCUGGCGGCGUGCUUAACACAUGCAAGUCGAACGGAAAGGCCCUGCUUUUGUGGGGUGCUCGAGUGGCGAACGGGUGAGUAACAAGUGAGUAACCUGCCUUUGACUUUGGGAUAACUUCAGGAAACUGGGGCUAAUACCGGAUAGGAGCUCCUGCUGCAUGGUGGGGGUUGGAAAGAUUCGGCGGUUGGGGAUGGACUCGCGGCUUAUCAGCUUGUUGGUGGGGUAGUGGCUUACCAAGGCUUUGACGGGUAGCCGGCCUGAGAGGGGGACCGGCCACAUUGGGACUGAGAUACGGCCCAGACUCCUACGGGAGGCAGCAGUGGGGAAUAUUGCACAAUGGGCGGAAGCCUGAUGCAGCAACGCCGCGUGCGGGAUGACGGCCUUCGGGUUGUAAACCGCUUUCGCCUGUGACGAAGCGUGAGUGACGGUAAUGGGUAAAGAAGCACCGGCUAACUACGUG